rnacentral:rRNA from 1 species
UACGAGUGCGUCGAGCGUUAUCCGGAAUCAUUGGGCGUAAAGGGUGUGUAGGUGGCGCUGUUAGUCUCGCGUUAAAUUCUCCGGCUUAACCGGAGAGCUGCGUGGGAAACGGCAUUGCUUGAGGUUGGUAGGGGUCUCUGGAACUCUAAGUGUAGCGGUGAAAUGCGUUGAUAUUUAGGGGAACACCAAAAGCGAAGGCAGGAGACUGGACCAAAUCUGACACUGAAACGCGAAAGCGUGGGUAGCGAAUGGG